rnacentral:rRNA from 1 species
UACAGAGGUCUCAAGCGUUGUUCGGGUUCAUUGGGCGUAAAGGGUGCGUAGGCGGCGCGGUAAGUCGGGUGUGAAAUCUCGGAGCUUAACUCCGAAACUGCAUUCGAUACUGCCGUGCUUGAGGACUGGAGAGGAGACUGGAAUUUACGGUGUAGCGGUGAAAUGCGUAGAUAUCGUAAGGAAGACCAGUGGCGAAGGCGGGUCUCUGGACAGUUCCUGACGCUGAGGCACGAAAGCCAGGGGAGCAAACGGG